AGAUUGAACGCUGGCGGCAGGCCUAACACAUGCAAGUCGAGCGGUAGAGAGGUGCUUGCACCUCUUGAGAGCGGCGGACGGGUGAGUAAUGCCUAGGAAUCUGCCUAGUGGUGGGGGAUAACGUUCGGAAACGGACGCUAAUACCGCAUACGUCCUACGGGAGAAAGGCGGGGGACCUUCGGGCCUCGCGCCAUUAGAUGAGCCUAGGUCGGAUUAGCUAGUUGGUGAGGUAAUGGCUCACCAAGGCGACGAUCCGUAACUGGUCUGGAGAGGAUGAUCAGUCACACUGGAACUGAGA
rnacentral:rRNA from 1 species